GUGGGGAAUUUUGCGCAAUGGGCGAAAGCCUGACGCAGCGACGCCGCGUGUGCGAUGAAGGCCUUUGGGUCGUAAAGCACUGUCGAGUGGGAAGAACGUCUUGGAGCUAAUACCUCCAAGAUCUGACGGUACCGCUAAAGGAAGCACCGGCUAACUCUGUGCCAGCAGCCGCGGUAAUACAGAGGGUGCAAACGUUGCUCGGAAUCAUUGGGCGUAAAGCGCGUGUAGGCGGCUUGAAAAGUCGACUGUGAAAGCCCUUGGCUCAACCAAGGAAGUGCAGUCGAAACUCUCGAGCUAGAAUGCCGAAGAGGGUGGCGGAAUGCGCAGUGUAGAGGUGAAAUUCGUAGAUAUUGCGUAGAACACCGGUGGCGAAGGCGGCCACCUGGGAGGUCAUUGACGCUGAGACGCGAAAGCGUGGGGAGCAAACAGGAUUAGAAACCCUGGUAGUCC
rnacentral:rRNA from 1 species